GGUUAAGCGACUAAGCGUACACGGUGGAUGCCCUGGCAGUCAGAGGCGAUGAAGGGCGUGCUAAUCUGCGAUAAGCGCCGGUAAGGUGAUAUGAACCGUUAUAACCGGCGAUACCCGAAUGGGGAAACCCAGUGUGACUCGUCACACUAUCAUUAACUGAAUCCAUAGGUUAAUGAGGCGAACCGGGGGAACUGAAACAUCUAAGUACCCCGAGGAAAAGAAAUCAACCGAGAUUCCCCCAGUAGCGGCGAGCGAACGGGGAGGAGCCCAGAGCCUGAAUCAGCAUGUGUGUUAGUGGAAGCGUCUGGAAAGGCGCGCGAUACAGGGUGAUAGCCCCGUACACAAA
rnacentral:rRNA from 1 species